rnacentral:rRNA from 1 species
CCUACGGGAGGCAGCAGUGGGGAAUAUUGGACAAUGGGGUGAACCCUGAUCCAGCGACGCCGCGUGAGUGAAGAAGUAUUUCGGUAUGUAAAGCUCUAUCAGCAGGGAAGAAAGAAAUGACGGUACCUGACUAAGAAGCCCCGGCUAACUACGUGCCAGCAGCCGCGGUAAUACGUAGGGGGCAAGCGUUAUCCGGAUUUACUGGGUGUAAAGGGAGCGUAGACGGCGAUGCAAGUCUGAAGUGAAAGGCGGGGGCUCAACCCCCGGACUGCGUUGGAAACUGUAUGGCUGGAGUGCAGGAGAGGGAAGUGGAAUUCCUGGUGUAGCGGUGAAAUGCGUAGAUAUUAGGAGGAACACCAGUGGCGAAGGCGGCUUACUGGACUGUAACUGACGUUGAGGCUCGAAAGCGUGGGGAGCAAACAGGAUUAGAUACCCUAGUAGUC